GACCUCCCCGUCGGACUGCCCGUCCUCGACUCUCCCUCGUCGGCUCCGUCGCCCGCCACCUCGUACUCCCAUCUCCCUCUCCCUCGACGGAUCUGCUCGCGCACGAUGACGCCGUCCCCAUCGCCGGAGCAUGCCGCCAUCAAGCUCUUCCCGAGUACGCUAUUGCACGCCUACAGGGCCCGGUGAGCGCGCCCUCGAUCCCCAUUUCGCCCCCGUCUCUUUGCCGUUCGCCACACCAUGCACGUCGCUGCGCGUCCGCGGCCAUGUGCCCGUGCCACUUUCGUCGUGCCUGCCAGCUCCACGCCACCUUCCCGCGCCCAAGGUCGUCGUGGCCGUGUUUUGCCCGCGCCCGUGCCUGCCCCUUGCUCACCGCCUCGCCAUCCGCCGCCCGUGUUGGCCCCGACCGUUGUCCCGUUCUGCACUGCUGCUGAAGCCGAAGGCCACCGUUGCUCGCCCUGCCCGGCCACCGCUCCCCGCGCCCACCUCCGCAACCGAUUGCUGCCCCGCGCCCCAGCACCACCCCGCAGUGGCCUUGCCACUGCCGCCUCCGGCGGCUAGCCUCGUUGCGCCUGUGGCCGGCGCCCCCUGUCAAUCUGGGCGUAUGCCCAAUCGGGCUGGGCACCAGCGCCCGUUAACGCGCGACCCACUAUGGCCCUCUGGGCCACUGCCAAACGGGGCCGACGCCCCAGAACCUUUUAUAGAAAAAAGGAAGGAAAGGAAUUAAAACAAAUAAAUAAUAAUUAAAAUAUCAAUUAAUUAUUAAUUAAAGAAUUAAUUAACUUAAUUAAUCUUGUUUAAUUAACCUAAUUAACUGUUGUUAUUUAACUAAACAGUCAAUGACAGCUUGGACCCACACGUCAGUUUGACCUAGUUAACACCUUGUUGACUGCUGACGUCAUGAUGACGUAGCUCGGAUGGAAAAUAAAUUCUAAAAAUGAUUAAAUCUUUUAUAAUUAAUAUAAAAUAAACCGUAGCUCGGAUGGAAAAAUUUUGUACAUGAAAGUUGCUCAGAACGACGAGACGAAUCCUGAUACGCAACCCGUUCGUCCGCCCCGCGUCCUUAGCAUAGUGAAUCUGCAACAUUUCACCUCCGGUUUUUCUGUCCGAAAACGCGAAACACCGGGGAUACUUUUCUGAAUGUUUCCCCCCUUCGCCAGUAUCACCUACUACCGCGUUAGGGCACAUCUAACACCGCUCAUUAUCAUGUCAUGCAUCGUCAUGCUUAUGUUUGCAUUGUAUUUACUGUUUCUUCCCCUUCUUCUUUCCGGUAGACUAUGAGACCGACGCUGCUGCUGCCCAGUUCGACUACGGAGUUGACGACCCCGUCCUUGCCAGAGCAACCAG
rnacentral:lncRNA from 1 species